GAACAUAAAAAUAAAAUUGUGUGACCACCACGGAAAUUCAUCUUUUUAUGUUAACAUCUUAAAAAUGCUGCAACAUAUGACUACUACGAUAGUUAACAAUCGGUAACAAGAUUCGCUGUUUAACGCUAUGCGCUCUGCUAAAUUAUUGUGUGCAAAUAAAAAUUGGAAAUUAUUCAAAGGUGGCUUUAGGGACAGUGUAACCGUUUAUAUACUCUAUGGUAUAGUAAUUUAAUUGCUUUGGAAGUCAAAAAGGCUAUCGGAUAUCAGAAUCGAGUCUUUCAAGUAUUGUUAAGCAUGUCAUUUUCUGUUAGGAGACAACUUUCCUCAACGACUGUAAUGUAAUAUUUCUUAAAUAAUGGCAUUUCUUCCAAAAACUCAACAAUGAUUCUAAACUUAUUUGCUUGUGAAUAAUAAGCAUGGGAGUUAUAAGUUACGCAAGCAAGAAUUUUAUGUGGGGUUGCACUGAAAAGUUCUAAAAAUCUGUAGAUCACCCUUGAAAUUAGCAUUCCUCUUUUUUUUAAUUUACUGUUGCCUUAAAAUAUGCACUAAAAACGACUAUGGAUUGUGGCUUCACAUUUUCUCAUUUCUUUAUGUUGUUAUUUACAAAACAUUUAAUACCUUAAGAUAUAAGCUAAUUUGAGAGAAAAUUGUAGCUAUAUAUUAUUUACGAAUAAUUGCAAUAUAAAUCGAACAAAUGAAAUGUAAAUAUUCAGAAUAACAGUUUUUUAGAGUAAUUUCUUUUCGUAUUUAAUGGAAGAAAUAUUAUACUUUUACUUAAUUAUCUCAACAUUCAUAAUAAUACGUAUAUUUAUAAGUAUGUGUAUGAGAUAUACGUUAAGUAUUAUGUUAGCUACAUUUUUGCUUAUUUGCAUUUAAUACAGAGUGCUUUACAACAAAUACGACAUAUUGCGAAGCUGCAACGGUUCGCUCCGUAUUUUCUAUUCAUACAUUCACAUAUUUUUAAACUUUAUUUACCAUAUAAAUUUAGUAUACUGUCAGAUAGAUUUCACCAUCUGUCAAUCUGAUGUUUAUUUGUAAUGUGCUGACUGUUAUUGACAAACUACGCUGCUCAAAUUUUUAUAAUUUGAUUGACAAAAUUACUAUUUUGGGAGAAUGACUCUGAAUGCACAAUUGCUUAAAGUAGAACUUCUAAUUAAUUUAUUU